AUCCAGCUAACGUGUCCCAAAUAGGACGAAACGUGCAUCCUGGAU
rnacentral:hammerhead_ribozyme from 1 species